rnacentral:rRNA from 1 species
GAUUGAACGCUGGCGGUAUGCUUAACACAUGCAAGUCGAACGGAAACGAUACUAGCUUGCUAGUAGGCGUCGAGUGGCGGACGGGUGAGUAACGCGUAGGAAUCUGCCUGAUAGUGGGGGAUAGCCCGAAGAAAUUCGGAUUAAUACCGCAUAAUCUAUUCGUAGUAAAGUGGGGGACUUUCGAGCCUCACGCUAUCAGAUGAGCCUGCGUAAGAUUAGCUUGUUGGUAGGGUAAAAGCCUACCAAGGCGACGAUCUUUAGCUGGUCUGAGAGGAUGAUCAGCCACAUCGGGACUGAGACACGGCCCGAACUCCUACGGGAGGCAGCAGUGGGGAAUAUUGGACAAUGGGGGCAACCCUGAUCCAGCAAUACCGCGUGUGUGAAGAAGGCCUGAGGGUUGUAAAGCACUUUCAAUUGUGAAGAAAAGUUAGCGGUUAAUAACCGUUAGCCUUGACGUUAACUUUAGAAGAAGCACCGGCUAACUCCGUGCCAGCAGCCGCGGUAAUACGGAGGGUGCAAGCGUUAAUCGGAAUUACUGGGCGUAAAGCGUGCGUAGGCGGUUUAUUAAGUCAGAUGUGAAAGCCCCGGGCUUAACCUGGGAACUGCAUUUGAAACUGGUCAACUAGAGUAUGGUAGAGGAAAGUGGAAUUUCUGGUGUAGCGGUGAAAUGCGUAGAUAUCAGAAGGGAACAUCAAUGGCGAAGGCAGCUUUCUGGACCAAUACUGACGCUGAGGUACGAAAGCGUGGGUAGCAAACAGGAUUAGAUACCCUGGUAGUCCACGCCGUAAACGAUGAUAACUAGCCGUUGGGGGGAUUUACCCUUUAGUGGCGAAGCUAACGCGUUAAGUUAUCCGCCUGGGGAGUACGGCCGCAAGGUUAAAACUCAAAGGAAUUGACGGGGACCCGCACAAGCGGUGGAGCAUGUGGUUUAAUUCGAUGCAACGCGAAGAACCUUACCUGGUCUUGACAUCCUGCGAACUUUCUAGAAAUAGAUUGGUGCCUUCGGGAACGCAGUGACAGGUGCUGCAUGGCUGUCGUCAGCUCGUGUCGUGAGAUGUUGGGUUAAGUCCCGUAACGAGCGCAACCCCUAUCCUUAUUUGCCAGCACAUCAUGGUGGGAACUAUAAGGAGACUGCCGGUGAUAAACCGGAGGAAGGCGGGGACGACGUCAAGUCAUCAUGGCCCUUACGACCAGGGCUACACACGUGCUACAAUGGGAAGGACAAAGAGCCGCGAAGCCGCGAGGUGUAGCUAAUCUCAUAAACCUUUUCGUAGUCCGGAUUGGAGUCUGCAACUCGACUCCAUGAAGUCGGAAUCGCUAGUAAUCGUAGAUCAGAAUGCUACGGUGAAUACGUUCCCGGGUCUUGUACAC